rnacentral:rRNA from 1 species
UACGGAAGGUCCGGGCGUUAUCCGGAUUUAUUGGGUUUAAAGGGAGCGUAGGCCGUCUCAAAAGCGUGUUGUGAAAUGUCCGGGCUCAACCGGGGCCGUGCAGCGCGAACUGUGAGACUUGAGUGUGCGGAAGGUAUGCGGAAUUCGUGGUGUAGCGGUGAAAUGCAUAGAUAUCACGAAGAACUCCGAUUGCGAAGGCAGCAUGCCGCAGCAUUACUGACGCUGAUGCUCGAAGGUGCGGGUAUCGAACAGG